rnacentral:antisense_RNA from 1 species
CCACCAGGGAACAAUUCAAGGCUGGAGAGAAAAAGGCCACCUUUGACCCAGCAGAAGGCAGAGGAGGGUGAGGACCUACAAGGAGCAUUGCAGGCGCGGAAACAAUGGCCAGGACCUAACUGUGGUGGGAACCGCCUUUUUCUCCACACACUGGCAAUCAACAUGCGUAUUUGCUAUUUUAAAACAACCCCCUUCCCCGCCCUUAGGCUGAAAGGACAAACUCAUCAGAGUUGAGUACCUGAUGAAGCUGUUCAUGCUUCCAGCAUCAAGCGAUCAUACCUCUUUUCUGAAUGUUUACUGUCUGCCCAAAUGCCAUUUUCCAAAAGGCUGUCAGGAUGCAAGCUACCUACUCUUUUCUGGAUGGAUCGGGACAAAGUUUUUAAACAAAGACUCUGCCCUCUCCACAAGCC